CCAUCGGUGGCGGGAGGCGGCAUUGCUGGUGGCCGAAGGGGUGCUUGUGGAAGCAGGUGGAAUAGUCAGCAGCUGUGGGGAUUCGUUAUUCUCCGAGGUUGGCAGGCUCGACGCGAGGCUCGAUGGGGCUGCGGGAUUGUCAAGCGGGCGGGUGAUUGCUCAACGAUGACUGGAGACGAUCUUCGGUAUUACAACUGGUUUAUACCAAUGGGUUAUUUGCAUCUCAAGUUAAAUUAGUCACUGUUGAUCAACAAUGAGAUGUGGCCAUUGUUUGAUGGAUCAUUGAUGGUACGGAUGUGCAAUGAAACAAUGAUAUACCCACUGUAUUGGACCCAAACACCUUCCUGAAAAUUGUUCUGAAGGGGUUAGCACAAGUAAACUAUUGUUAUGACUUGCGAGGUCUGCUGGAG